rnacentral:rRNA from 1 species
GACGAACGCUGGCGGCGUGCCUAAUACAUGCAAGUAGAACGCUGAAGGAGGAGCUUGCUUCUCUGGAUGAGUUGCGAACGGGUGAGUAACGCGUAGGUAACCUGCCUGGUAGCGGGGGAUAACUAUUGGAAACGAUAGCUAAUACCGCAUAAUAGUAGAUGUUGCAUGACAUUUGCUUAAAAGGUGCAAUUGCAUCACUACCAGAUGGACCUGCGUUGUAUUAGCUAGUUGGUGGGGUAACGGCUCACCAAGGCGACGAUACAUAGCCGACCUGAGAGGGGGAUCGGCCACACUGGGACUGAGACACAGCCCAGACUCCUACGGGAGGCAGCAGUAGGGAAUCUUCGGCAAUGGACGGAAGUCUGACCGAGCAACGCCGCGUGAGUGAAGAAGGUUUUCGGAUCGUAAAGCUCUGUUGUAAGAGAAGAACGAGUGUGAGAGUGGAAAGUUCACACUGUGACGGUAUCUGACCAGAAAGGGACGGCUAACUACGUG